CUAGUACUCCCUCCGUUUUGAAUUACUUGUCUUGGAUUUGUCUAGAUGCGGAUGUAUCUAGACUCAUUUUAGUGCUAGAUACCUCCGUAUCUAGACAAAUCUAAGACAAGUAAUUCGGAACGGAGGAAGUACUUC
rfam:Triticum urartu cultivar G1812 contig411271, whole genome shotgun sequence.